AGGAGAGGGAUCCAGGGACUCGAUGGCCUCCUGAGAUCUCUUCAAGCCCCAUUAUUCUGUGACUAGGGGGCUGCUCCCCAGCUCCGCGAAGUCGAUGCCCGUGGCUGCCGGACAGCUUUGGAUCAAGUCCUACAGGGUCUGGUGGCCGGUUGCUUCCCUCUCUUGCCUUUUCGAGGGUUGCCUCCAAUUAACUUGGAGCUUGACUGUAUGUCUGCAAACAGAUUCCGUUACAGUCUGAAGAUUAAUGGAGCCUCCCAGAGCACAAACUCCAAGUAGA